UACGUAGGGUGCGAGCGUUGUCCGGAAUUAUUGGGCGUAAAGAGCUCGUAGGCGGUGUGUCACGUCGUUCGUGAAAACCUGCAGCUUAACUGUGGGCGUGCGGUCGAUACGGGCAUCACUGGAGUUCGGCAGGGGAGACUGGAAUUCCUGGUGUAGCGGUGAAAUGCGCAGAUAUCAGGAGGAACACCAAUAGCGAAGGCAGCUCGCUGGGACGUUACUGACACUGAGGCGCGAAAGCGUGGGGAGCGAACAGG
rnacentral:rRNA from 1 species